GGGUUAAGCAACAUUUAUUCACAAUUACAUUGGAUCUCAUCAUAAUUUCGCAGUUAAGUGUGUUUGGGAUAGAGUAGUAUUAAGAUGGGUGACCUCCUUGAAAUUCCUAGUGUUGCACCCU
rnacentral:rRNA from 1 species